rnacentral:sRNA from 1 species
UUGAAUAUUGCCUAAGACAGCAGGCGCGAUUUACGCUUAAUUUCCUGCCGAGGUAACAAACCGUAUACUAGCGUGUGCGUUGUUUUGUCCCUUGUCUUAUGGCAGGGGAUUUUAUUUAU